rnacentral:rRNA from 1 species
GACGAACCGUGCGAACGUUAUUCGGAAUCAUUGGGCUUAAAGCGCGUGUAGGCGGAUUCGUGCGUCUGUCGCUGAAAUCCCCGGCUCAACCGGGGAACGGGCGCGGAUACGACGAGUCUGGAGGGCAUAGGGGGACCGUGGAACGUUCCGGUGGAGCGGUGAAAUGCGUUGAGAUCGGAAGGAACGCCCGUGGCGAAAGCGAGGUCCUGGAUGCCUACUGACGCUGAGACGGCGAAAGCCAGGGGAGCGAACGGGGAUUAAGAAACCCGAUGGUAC